rnacentral:tRNA from 1 species
GGCUGUUAGCUCAAUCGGUAGAGCACCUGACUCUUAAUCAGUAGGUUCCGCGUUCGAUUCGCGGACAGCCCACCAU